AGAUGUGAGGGUGAUCUGGCUGUGAUAUCUGUCACCUCAUUGAUUGCCACGGUUGAUUUGGCUGAUCUGGCUGUUUGAUUCUUCCUCUCUGCUCCAUGUGUGUCCCUCCUAAAUUGAGUCGAAGAGGACAAUCAGCCCAGAUAGAGGAGCACUGUUUUCUCAGUCAAGGGUAUAUGAGUAGCUGGGCUCCUCUGCUAGAACCUCCAAAUAAGUUCUUAAAAGAGAGGCUAUCUAGCUAUGCCUAAUCUCAUCACAUGAGCCCUUAAAGGCAGAGAGAUUUCUCCUGUUAGUGGC
rfam:Heterocephalus glaber contig161782, whole genome shotgun sequence.